rnacentral:rRNA from 1 species
UACGGAGGGGGCAAGCGUUAUUCGGAAUUAUUGGGCGUAAAGGGCGCGUAGGCGGCUAGAUGUGUCAAAGGUGAAAUCCCUCGGCUCAACUGAGGAACUGCCUUGAAACUGUCUGGCUUGAGGCCGGGAGAGGGUAGCGGAAUUCCCAGUGUAGCGGUGAAAUGCGUAGAUAUUGGGAGGAACACCAGUGGCGAAGGCGGCUCACUGGACCGGAACUGACGCUGAGGCGCGAAAGCGUGGGGAGCAAACGGG